AUUUGAUCUCAAAUCAGGUAGGACUACCCGCUGAACUUAAGCAUAUCAAUAAGCGGAGGAAAAGAAACUAACAAGGAUUCCCCUAGUAACUGCGAGUGAAGCGGGAAGAGCUCAAAUUUAAAAUCUGGCGUGCCUCUGGUCGCCCGAGUUGUAGUCUGGAGAAGCGUUUCCGUGCUG
rnacentral:rRNA from 1 species